AAGGGAAAGCAACAAGGCUAAAGCUUACCUUAGGGGUGGCAAACUAGCUGAAAUAAACAGUGCUCUCAACCAAACAUGUGUGCACAGCAAACAAUAGGAAGAGGUGCUCAAACCCUGGUGCUCCAAACUCACAACUGUGUGCUUCACCCAGGUGACUAGCCUCCCCUUCGGCACACUCAGCCUUGGACCAAACUAGGAGAAAAAAAGGA